rnacentral:misc_RNA from 1 species
GAUGAAGAACGCAGCGAAAUGCGAUAACUAAUGUGAAUUGCAGAAUUCAGUGAAUCAUCGAGUCUUUGAACGCACAUUGCGCCCCCUGGUAUUCCGGGGGGCAUGCCUGUCCGAGCGUCAUUGCUGCCCUCAAGCACGGCUUGUGUGUUGGGCUCCGUCCCCCCGGGGACGGGCCCGAAAGGCAGCGGCGGCACCGAGUCCGGUCCUCGAGCGUAUGGGGCUUUGUCACCCGCUCUGUAGGCCCGGCCGGCGCCAGCCGACAACCCAUCAUCCUUAUCAGGUUGACGUCGGAUGAGGUAGGGAUACCCGCUGAACUUAAGCAUAUCAAUAAGCGGAGGA